AUUGAACGCUGGCGGCAGGCCUAACACAUGCAAGUCGAACGAGUGGCGGAAGGGUGAGUAAUGUCUGGGAAACUGCCUGAUGGAGGGGGAUAACUACUGGAAACGGUAGCUAAUAACGCAUACCAUCGGAUGUGCCCAGCUGGGAUUAGCUAGUAGGUGGGGUAAAGGCUCAACUAGGCGACGAUCCCUAGCUGGUCUGAGAGGAUGACCGGCCACAGUGUAACUGAGUCACGGUACAGACGCCUACGGGAUGCAUCAGUGGGGAAUAUUGCACAUUGGGCGAAAGCCUGAUGCAGCCAUGCCGCGUGUAUGAAGAAGGCCUUCGGGUUGUAAAGUACUUUCAGCGGGGAGGCGUUACCCGCAGAAGAAGCACCGGCUAACUCCGUGCCAGCAGCCGCGGUAAUUC
rnacentral:rRNA from 1 species